AUACUUACUGUGCAGGGGAGACACCACGAUCAUAUAAGUGCUUUACCCAGGGUGAGGCUAAUCCAUUGCACCCCGAAUGAGCUGACCCCUGUGACUCCCCCAAAUAUGGGAAACUCAUCUGCAAAAUCUGUGGUAGUGGGGGACUGUGUAGAGAAGCUGGAUGGCCUAG
rnacentral:snRNA from 1 species